GGGCCUUUAGCUCAGUUGGUUAGAGCAACCGGCUCAUAACCGGUCGGUCCUGGGUUCGAGUCCCCGAAGGUCCA
rnacentral:tRNA from 1 species